rnacentral:rRNA from 1 species
AGCAAUCUGCCCAUGUCUGGGGGAUAACAGUUGGAAACGACUGAUAAUACCGCAUAAUAUGGUUUGAAGGCAUCUUCUUUCCAUCAAAGAUUUAUCGGAUAUGGAUGAGCUCGCGUCUGAUUAGCUUGUUGGUGAGGUAACGGCUCACCAAGGCGACGAUCAGUAGCCGACCUGAGAGGGUGAUCGGCCACAUUGGAACUGAGACACGGUCCAAACUCCUACGGGAGGCAGCAG